rnacentral:rRNA from 1 species
UACGAAGGGGCUAGCGUUGUUCGGAAUCACUGGGCGUAAAGCGCACGUAGGCGGACUGUUAAGUCGGGGGUGAAAUCCUGAGGCUCAACCUCAGAACUGCCUCCGAUACUGGCGGUCUCGAGUUCGGAAGAGGUUGGUGGAACAGCUAGUGUAGAGGUGAAAUUCGUAGAUAUUAGCUAGAACACCAGUGGCGAAGGCGGCCAACUGGUCCGACACUGACGCUGAGGUGGCGAAAGCGUGGGGAGCAACAGGGAUUAAGA